GAUGGGGGUUCUGGCCACCAACUCCAAGGGGUGCCAGAACCCCCUCGCCGGGUUGUCCAAAUUUUUGGACAACCCGGCUCUUUAAAGACCCUGCAACCUGCAAAAGGAAAGGAGGGGAGAUCUACCAGCAGUUAGCCACAAAAAAGAAAAACAAAAGAAAGAAACAAAACAAAAAAAACAAAAAAAGGAAGAGGGGGGUGGAGAUCUGAGAGGAGAGAGAGAGAGAGGCCGACGAAAGAGAGGGAUCGGCCGACAGAAGGCGAAGAGAUCCGUCGGGAGAGAGAGAAGAGAAAGAGAAGCCGACGGGAAGAGAGGGGAAGGCGCCGGCGCCGACGAAGAGAAGGAAGAAAACUUUUUAGAGAGAAGGGAGAGGGUGCGGCUAGAGAGAGAAAAAAAAUGAGAAAAUGAAUAAAAAAGGCUAAAAAAGAGCUUUUAUACCCAGAGGAAGGAGGGCAAAACGGUGUCGUUUCAGAGGAAGGAGGGCAAAACGGCGUCGUUUCAGAGAGGCAAGCAGAAGCUGGAAGGUCCAGGCCAAACGGCGUCGUCUUGAGUGGCUUUGCAAGCAUCACACGGCGCGUUUUGGGUCCUACCUCGUGGGCUUCCAGAAGCAGGCCGGGGUGUUAGACUUGGGCUCCCACGGGCCACCGAGUUGGGCCAAUCGCAGCCCAACAAGGUAUAACCCUUUUUUUUUUGUUUGCUUGGGUUUCUUAGUGUUGGGUCUAGCCCAUUUUAAUUAAAAUGCAUUUAUUUUUUUUAGGAAAGAAAUAUUUAUAUAAUAUGGACACUUAUAUUUAAUAUUAAAAAUCAAAAAUAAAAUAAAAAAUAAUGAUAGUAAUAAAAAAUAAUGGUAAAAAUGCAUAGUCUAAAAGAACAUGUAUAUCAAAUAAGUAAAUAAAUAAAAAAAAUUCAUAAAAAUAAAAAUUAAAAUAUAUAUGUAAAUAAUAACAAUGACAAGUGAAUAAAAAAUAUUUAUAUUAUAAAUAUACUUAGAGGCUUGUAAAUAAUAAUAAUAAUAAUAGUAAUAAUCCGGAAUACUAAUACAUUAAUAAUAACAAAUAAUAUAAAUAACAAUUAUUUGAGUAUUACCACCUAAAAGGGGCAAAGGGUUGUCUCUUUCGGGCGGGUCAUUUAAGUGCGGAGUUCGAAACGGAUUUUCACCGAAGCGUCGGGAUAAAUCCGAAUUCUAUACUCCUAUACCCAUUAAUCCGAGUAAUUGUUGUUUAAAAUAAUAUAUNNNNNNNNNNNNNNNNNNNNNNNNNNNNNNNNNNNNNNNNNNNNNNNNNNNNNNNNNNNNNNNNNNNNNNNNNNNNNNNNNNNNNNNNNNNNNNNNNNNNNNNNNNNNNNNNNNNNNNNNNNNNNNNNNNNNNNNNNNNNNNNNNNNNNNNNGAUUCCCCCGAGGAGCUUGUAGAGAUGAGUUCUUCCGGGGAUAUAUCUAGGUGAGAAAAAUUUUGAGAUUUCACCAAAGCGUUGGGGUAGUCUUCGAAUAAUUUUCCAAUAAAAAAUUACCGACCCCAUCAUUUAAAAUAAACAAGUCAUAACAUCAUUUUACGCUUGCAUCAUGUGCAUACGUAAAACCAAAUAAAAAACUCAGUCUGUCAAUUUAAUAAAAAUUUAAUUAAUAAAGUAGGGAUUAAAUUAAGAAAAGACUAUAUUAAGAUAACUUAAGAUUAAAUGGUACCGUUCGUGGAACGGGCGCUACGGAGGUGCUAACCCUUCUCCGUGCGUAACCGCACUCCCGAACCCAUCUCUAAAAAUGUAGACCAGUUCUCGUUCUUUCGACGGGCCUAAAAUUAAUUUAGGACUUCGUCGAUUAGAAUCAGGUUAAUAGGUGACCAAUCACACCUUAGAUAAAAAAGAUUGGUGGCGACUCCCACACGAUUUUAAUUUUCGCCCGCGUCUGACGGACGGGUUCCCGGACCCGCACGUCACGACAUAAAUAAGGGAAAAUGAAUCAAUAAAACAAUGCCCUAGUUUUUGUGGUACUCGAUCGGUUGAGCAAAUGAAAUGUCCCUUUCGUUUUUUGGUAUUGGACAUGAAAAUCUGAUCUUAGGGAAACUAAACCCAUAUCUCUUUCUGCGCCUCUCACCAUGGAAUUUGGGGAGGCUUUUUUAUUUGAUUGGUUAAGCUAAGGACAAACAAGGUGAAAUCACUAAAGGGGAACCCCUUGAUUGGUUGGUUGCUUAUUUCAACCUUACACACCAUACAAAGAGCGAGAAAUAUUGAGUCCUUCCCCAUCUUGUCCUAUAUAACCAAGGCCUAGUCGCUUCUUUUAAGUUUGCCACCUUGAACUACUUUCAUUCAAUCUCUCUCUUUUGCCCAAAAAAAAAUAUGGCCUCCCAUGGAAACAUUACUGUAAGCACCUCCCCAAAAGGCAGCAACUCGGAAGCAGCUGUGCCAACCAAUUCACCCAAAGGCGGCCAAUGUUUGUGCUCACCAACGACUCACCAGGGCUCGUUUCGAUGCAGAUUUCAUCGGUCAAGUUCAUCAGCCUGGAUGAAGCGAUCAAAGUCCAUGCCUGCCAAUGGUUCCCUGGCUUCUCUUUCUCCCAAGUCUGUGGAAUCUACAUAAAUUAUAAAUACUAAAACUCUGUUCCUAUAAGCAUAUGUUCCUCCAUGUUCUCAUGAAAAUCUCCCUUUGUCUCCCUACUAUGUGAAAAAGAGAAUAUCUAGGUAUGCUGGAUUUUCUGUAUUUGCUUGGGAUAUGUGAUUAUAAAUAUCUGCAACUGUUUAAAUUCAAAGAGCUAAUCAAGAGCUUAGCUUCUAUUGAUUGUUGUCUGGUAAAGCUCUCUCUCCUUUCCAAGUUAACUGCAAAAAUAGCUAUUAGUUCAACACUUCUCAAUUCUCAUGCAUCGAUAUGCAAUCGAUCUACAAGCAAAAUCCUGACUGGUUUCAUCUUAAUUUUGUCUUUGCACUAACCUUUAUUGCCAUAGCUUGUUUGUAGUUUCCCUCUACCUCUUUGUCCCAUAGCUGAGUUGAUCAUUAACAAACCUGACCCUACGAUUUCAUAAAGGCGAAUUUCGAUUCUAAAUUCUCAUCAUACUUAAUUGCCAAAGGAUUCUUUUAUCUAGUAACUGAUCACAUAUUCAAAGGUGAUAUAGC
rnacentral:lncRNA from 1 species